rnacentral:misc_RNA from 1 species
CAGGUUUCUGACAGUGUGGUUCCUGCAUUCAAGUCGGCAGCAGAGGAUCUGUUGAAUACCUCGGGUUUGUCAGCGGUAGAAUUACUUGCAAAAGCCCUUGCCAAGGCUGCUGGCUACACUGAGAUAAAGAGUAGAUCACUUCUAACAUCCAUGGAGAACCAUGUCACGUUGCUCCUUGAAGCUGGAAGACCCUUCUACACACCGUCAUUUGCUUUUGGCAUCCUGAGGAGAUUCUUACCUGAUGAUAAGAUUGAGUCAGUGAAGGGUAUGACGCUCACAGCUGAUGGGAAUGGUGCUGUAUUUGAUGUGCCUGCAGCAGAUCUGGACACAUUUCUUGCCGGUCAGGAAAAUGCAGCUAAUGUCCGCUUAGAGGUGUUGCAAGCAUUGCCUCCCUUGCAAGAAAGAGAUCAAUCAAGGGGAAGAUUUGGUGGUGGCGGUCGAGGUCGGGGUGACUUCAGUGAUAGAAAUGGUGGUGGUAGGUUCUCAGGGGGCAGAGGUGGCAGGGGCGGGGGAUUUUCUGAUAGAAGAAAUGGUAGGUUCUCUAAUGGCUUUGGCGGUGGGAAAGGUCGCAGCGGUGGGAAAAAAUGGUGAAGGACCUUGAUCAAUGGGAACAAAUUUCAAGGAGCCAAGGCCCUUAAUUUUGUCUCCACGGUUGAUAGUGAUUUAUAUAGCAUUGUUUUACAGCUACAGGAUGAAGCAUCUUUUGAUGAUGAAGAAAAUAUGCAUUUAUAGAGUCCGAAGGAUGUAAAGUCUGGAUUGGCUAACAUAGG